rnacentral:tRNA from 1 species
ACAAACGGGUGAGGGGUUGGAGCGUUUGCCUCCCGAGCAAAAGGUCGGCCGUUCGAAUCGGCCCGGGCGUACCA